GCCAGACGAAGUCCUCUGCAGAAGCUCGUGCAAGUCUGGCGGCCUUGAGCUCCACUGGGUCCUGUAUUGGGGGUGCGGAGGAGGUGCCGGACAGUCUUUCCCGAAGCCAAAGAAGCCUGCGCUUGGGGCGGCUGGGACCACGGAGAGACAGUCGGGAGGAGAGCGGGUCCUUUUGGGUCUACACCCUCCAACGAGUCCCACAUCCAUCCUCUUCUCCCCAAGCUGCUGUGCUCUCCGCUUUUCCACUGUGGCCUCUCCAAGCCUCCACCCAGCAGCAGAGGGAGCAUCUAACACAGAAGUCUGAUACCCUGUGUCCUGCCUCUGCUAAAAGGCCUCCAGUUGCUUCUCAUCAGACUUAGGAUUAAUCUGUAC
rnacentral:lncRNA from 1 species